rnacentral:lncRNA from 1 species
AAGCUGCUGCUGCUUUUAUUGUGCUCAUGGUGAGCUCCAAAAUGGUGCCACCGGCAUUCCUCUGGCUCCUCGCUUUCCCACUUACAAGUCCAAUUGCAUGCAACCUCUACGGUUCCUGCUCGAGACCGUCCUGCGACCCGGCAUACAGAGCACGAACAUCCGGCCCCUGGUCCCACAGAUGAAAAGCCAGGACAGAAAGCUGCUGCUGGGGCUCUUCUGCACGUGGUGAGCUCUGCAACGGUGCCACCGGCAUUGCUCUCGCUCCUCGCUUUCCCACCUAAAAGUCCAAUUGCGUGCAUCCUCCACUGUGCCCUCUCAAGGACGUCACGCAGCACAGCACGUACAAAAGGAAUGUCCAGCCCCUGCUCCCACAGCCAAAGAGCCAGGACAAAAUACAGCUGCUGCGCCUCUUCUGCAUAUAUAGAGCUCCCCAACAGUGCUACCGGCGUUGCACUUGCUCCUCACUUUCCCACUUGAAAGUCCAAUUUUAUGCAACUUCUAAGGCCCUUCCUUGAGUCCCUUCCACAGUAUGACACAAAUGUCCGGCGCCUACUCCCACAGCCGAAGAGCCAGGACAGAAAGCUGCUGCUGGGCAUCUUCUGCACAUACAGACCUCCACAAAGGUGCCACCAGCAUUGCUCUCGCUCCUCGCUUUACCACAUAAAACUCCAUCCGUGUGCUGCCUCUCCUCUCUGGUGCCCACUCUCAGAUGUCCUUGAGCAAGGCUCAGAGAGUGCGAAUGUCCAGCCCCUGCUCCUACAGCUGAAGAGCCAGGACAGAAAGCUACUGCUGGGCAUCUUCUACAUGCAGUGAGCUCUGCAAUGUGCCACCAGCAUUGCUCUCGUUCCUUGCUUUCCCACGUAAAACUCCAUCUGCCUACUGCCUGUAAUGUCUUUUGCCUGCUUUCUCGCAUCCUGGAGCACGGCUCACAGAGUGCUCUCAUCUGUCCCCUGCUCCUACAACCGAAGAAAUGGGACGGAAAUCUGGUGCUGGGCAUAUUUUACACGCGGUCAGCUCUGCAACAGUGCCACCAGCAUAGCUGUCGCUCCUCACUUCCCUACCUAAAACUCCAUGUGCCUACUGCCUCUUCUCUCUGCUGCCUGUCCUUGGGCUUCCUGGAGCACAGCUCAUCGAUUGCGAUCUUCUGGGCCCUGCUCUCUCAGCUGAAGAGCCAGU